GAUGAACGCUAGCGGCAGGCUUAACACAUGCAAGUCGAGGGGCAGCACGGGUAGCAAUACCUGGUGGCGACCGGCGCAAGGGUGCGUAACGCGUGAGCAACAUGCCCUAUACAGGGGGAUAAUCCAGGGAAACUUGGUCUAAUAUCCCAUAGUAUUUAGAGGAGGCAUCUUCUAUAAAUUAAAGCUUCGGUGGUAUAGGAUUGGCUCGCGUGACAUUAGCUAGAUGGUGAGGUAACGGCUCACCAUGGCAAUGAUGUCUAGGGGUUCUGAGAGGAAGGCCCCCCACACUGGGACUGAGACACGGCCCAGACUCCUACGGGAGGCAGCAGUGAGGAAUAUUGGACAAUGGAUGGAAAUCUGGUCCAGCCAUGCCGCGUGCAGGAAGACAGCCCUAUGGGUUGUAAACUGCUUUUAUAUGGGAGCAAUAAGGUCUACGUGUAGACUGAUGAGAGUACCAUAUGAAUAAGCAUCGG
rnacentral:rRNA from 1 species